UGGCCAAGAGAAGUCAUGGGAGCAGGUCCUGGAGGGCAAGCAUUGCUUUUUAAGACUCCUGCUUCACUUGGGCCCCUCCGCAUAGUCUUUAAGAAAGCAGGAGGAAGGGGAUCUAUCUCUGUGUGGCACCAGAAGUUUCCAGAGAAUUUGAAGAUUCAAGGUUUUCAACUGAAUCUACCCAGGCCUUUUCAAAUUGUUCUGUUUCCUUUGGUUCCUGGUUCUGCAUAGCGUGGCUCCUCCUCCUGACAGCUGGUUUCCUUCGGUCAGAUAGUCUCUGUGGCAAGUACUGAACUCUGCUGCGGUAGAACACAAGCAGCCACAGGCAAAGGGCCUGAGCGGCUCUUGCCUGGACAUUGCAGCAGCCUCAUCCCCUUGCCUCUGGAUUCGCCCUGUCCCACAAUGCCGCUCGAGUGGGCUACCCAGAAUGUGAAGUCGAUCACAUCGCUGCCCUCCUCUAGACUUUUCCAUAGCUCCUUAUUUCCUGCAAGACCAAGUCCAAAGGGCUCAGCCUGGCAUAUCGGCCGCAGUGUCCCGGCUCUUACCGAUCCCCCAUUCUUGCCUCUUGUCGCUUCCAGCCUCUUACCAAGCUGCUGUUUACCAUC